GUGAACGCUGGCGGUAGGCCUAACACAUGCCAGUCGCACGGCAGCACAGUAAGAGCUUGCUCUUACGGGUGGCGAGUGGCGGACGGGUGAGGAAUACAUCGGAAUCUACUUUUUCGUGGGGGAUAACGUAGGGAAACUUACGCUAAUACCGCAUACGACCUACGGGUGAAAGCAGGGGAUCUUCGGACCUUGCGCGAUUGAAUGAGCCGAUGUCGGAUUAGCUAGUUGGCGGGGUAAAGGCCCACCAAGGCGACGAUCCGUAGCUGGUCUGAGAGGAUGAUCAGCCACACUGGAACUGAGACACGGUCCAGACUCCCACGGGAGGCAGCAGUGGGGAAUAUUGGACAAUGGGCGCAAGCCUGAUCCAGCCAUACCGCGUGGGUGAAGAAGGCCUUCGGGUUGUAAAGCCCUUUUGUUGGGAAAGAAAAGCAGCAGGUUAAUACCCCGCUGUUCUGACGGUACCCAAAGAAUAAGCACCGGCUAACUUCGUG
rnacentral:rRNA from 1 species